AAGGUUGACCUCGGAUCAGGUAGGGAUACCCGCUGAACUUAAGCAU
rnacentral:rRNA from 1 species